rnacentral:rRNA from 1 species
ACGCGAGCUGGGUUCAGAACGUCGUGAGACAGUUCGGUCCCUAUCCGUCGCAGGCGUAGGAAAUUUGAGAAGACCUGUCCUUAGUACGAGAGGACCGGGAUGGACGUACCUCUGGUGUACCAGUUGUCCUGCCAAGGGCAUGGCUGGGUAGCUAUGUACGGAAUGGAUAAGCGCUGAAAGCAUCUAAGCGCGAAGCCAACUUCAAGAUAAGAUUUCCCACCGCAAGGGUAAGACCCCAGAAAGACUAUCUGGUUGAUAGGUCGAAGGUGUAAGUUCAGCAAUGUAUUUAGCUUAUCGAUACUAAUAGGUCGAGGACUUGACCAAU